GCUGGACCUGUGGAGAGGAGGCAGAGGUCUGUGGAGGUGUGACCGCAACGCUGGCAUCAGGACCCAGCAUCUAACCUACUCCCAAGGCCUCACCUUAUCUCAGGGGCAUCCCACAUAAGAUAAGAUGCUUUCAGGCUGCUCAGCAGAACAUCCCCAAUCCAUCACCCAGAACAGAACGUACAGUAACCUUGCAAACAGAUGAGGGGAGCUGUUGUUGGGCUCACUCUCCUGUCUCCGCAGCUCCUAGCCCUAGGUCUCAAGCUCAGGCCCUGCGGGGAACAAGCCUAGGCUUUGUGUAUUGUGCCCGCUGCCGCCGAGGGACAGCUAGCGGGCAUCUCUUCCUCCCCCCGGCUCCACCAGGCUCCCAGAGAAAAGGAGCCUUUGACUGUCGCUGCCUUGGGACCCGGUGGUACCGUCUGAGUGGUAGAGAAAGUGCCAGGCGAGGUGAAUGUGGACCCUCUACAGCGAGUACUUCCAAAGAAAGCGGUGGCUCAUGUCUCAGCAGAGCAGGUAAGUAUUACACACUACUUGUAUGCAACAUGCACAUCAGCACGUGACACCUUCGCCCGCGUCUCGUUGCGCCACGACCUAGGCCCUGUGUGUGUGCUGGGGGGCGGGCGGCAGUGAUGGGACUGGGACGGGGAGCCGGAAUGAAUCCCUUUCCUGGGUCCUCACCACGCCCCACUCCCUGCCUGCUUUCUUCCGAUAGGGAAGGCAGAAGAUGCGGCAGGUGGCUUCGGCAUCUGCCUAGAAGUCCGAGAAUGGGAUGCAACAAAGUCUCCCUUCGGAAUGUCCAAGGUAAAGCUUCUAGGCUGAAGGGCGGGACAGCCUGGCACCGGCUACCACCGUGACCGCAGACAGAAGGCUCCCUUCUCAAGGCACGGGCUUUGGCCCUCUUCCUCACAGGCUGUGCUCUCCCUCAGCCACCGCCCCUGCGGCUGCAGCUCCAGGAUGUCCAAAGCUGACCCUCCACAGUCCUGCCCAUCUGCCUUUUCCAGUGUUCGCUGUGUCAGUCGAUGGCGUCACCGUCCAUCUGUUCUGUAAGUCAGCAACUAGGGGGACAUCCUAACACCUUCCUCUUCUUCACAUCUCUACCCGAUGCAUCCAGUCCUGUCCAAUUAACCUUCUCAAAAGCCUCUUGAAUGUACUCAUCUCUGGCCACCUCCCUUGCCACCCCUGGGCCACGUUCUGGAAUAUCACAAUAGCUUCUCAACCGGCCUUGGCACGUCCCAGCCUAGAUUGUCCUCUAUGCCCCAGCCCCCUGCCCACGGGCUACACCCGCCUCUUCACAGGUCCUCAGACCAGCCAUGGUCCUCCCCGCCGAAGACAGCUGCGUAGGCCAUUCGCUCUGCCCAGACAUCUUCCUCUCUGCCGACAAGUUUGUCUACUCACCUCCCAUCAUCCUGCAGUCCGAGCUCAAGAGACUACUUCCUGAGGGGAAAGACCAGGUCACAGUCUCAUUAAAAUGCUUCCAUAGACUGUGUCACUCUGUAGCUUCACAUGAAGUCUCACCUCCCUUGCAUCUAAUUUUGUAAAAAUCCCCAUUGUAUCCCUAAUGGGUAUCCCGGUCCCUGGCAAUAAGUAUUCCUCGAAUUAAUGGCUAAAGGAAAGAAAAGGGAAAAGAGCUACUCAACCCUGUUUGUUGGGUGAAGGAGCAAUCCCUGGGUGGUGCCCCAGCUGUGGCUGUGCUUAGGUGUGGCUGUAGCUCAGACCUGCCUUCCCUUCGCCAGGACUGUGGUUUGAUUUGGGUACCAUCUUCUCCAGCCCUUGGGGCCAGGCUGACUCAGGAGUCUCUGAAGCUAUUGUAUUUGGAGGCCCAGGAGAUCAAAACCUGGGGUCAGGGCUAGGUCACAGCCAAUCCCUUAACAAACAAAUGUGCCCCUGGGGGCUUCUGAGGGAAGGUGGCUUCUUGGGAAGUGCUAACAAGCCCCACAGGGAAAGGUACACCUGCCCAUUUCACUCUGCAGGCCAGGCUUCCCUGGAGGAGGAAUGGUUUUCAGCAACAGAUCUUGGGUGAUGAGGUCAGUGUGGAGCCAGUGAGUUCUGGGUAAACUCUUCGUUCCCCAAAUCUCACAUGUCUUGGCCCCAGCUCUCCCUAGCAGACAGGGAUAGCUCAGAUCAUUCUGGAUGAAAAGAGCCUUCAGGAGUCAUUUGUCCGUUAACCUAGGGAGAUUCUGAAAGAUCACCUCUGAGAGAUCUCUAGUUACUAAGAUCCCAACCUUUCAUGCUAGCCUAUCCCAGGG